CACAGAGUGGACACGAGAAAAGAAAUUCUAUUGUUUAUGAAACAGAAGUGAUAGAGCUGGGCCCCAAAUUGGCCCAGAGUCACAUCUUCCACAGCUGUUUCAGAAAGCAGGCAGAAACAUUCUUCAUGUGGCUGGCUGCCUUUGGAACUGAACAUCAACAAAAGGCAAGCAACAGAAAUGGAGUGUCAGUCAGCACUUCCGAAGACCUAGCUUUUCAGCCAGAGAGGAAACCAGGCCAAGAGGCUUCCAGUCCAGUGUUUAAUUCUCCCUGGCCCCUCUUUGCAUGGGCCUCCUGAGGGGUAGCUCCUCCAAACGCUGCCCUGAGGUUUGACUGAAAUCUGUCAUUUCUUUGGUUGGAAGGUUGGUGUUUCCUUGCAAGGGACCACAAAGCCAUAUUACAUUCAAUGUUAAAUAAACAAAUGUUUGAAUCUGUGUUUUAUUGGUUCCAUA
rnacentral:lncRNA from 10 species